GCACAAUCUAUUCUUGCACUCUGCCCUGGUACUGUCAAGGAACACUCCGUCAUCAGUAAGAGGAAUCAAUGAUGCUUGCAGGUUCUUCCUUCUUGAAAGUGGUGUAGCGAUGUUCGUGGCACUUCUCAUCAACAUAUGCAUCAUCUCUGUCUCUGGAACUGUCUGUAACUCCAGCAACGUCUCACCAGAUGACUCUGCAAAAUGCAGUGACAUCACCUUGGACUCCUCGUCCUUCCUCCUGAGGAAUGUGCUAGGCAAC